UUUCCGUAAGUGAACCUGCGGAAGGAUCAUUAAUGAGUUGUCAUGGGGUUCGAUGCUGGCAGCCAGUUUUUGGAUGCAUGUGCUUGCCCUAACAAUCAUCUUCUUCCAAACACCUGCGCACAUUUUUGAGGGAGUCUUGAGUUGGUUGCCGCUCUUGGGUGAUUUUCUCACAUUCCCUUAAAUCAUUAUACGCUAUUAACAAUGUUGAACGUGCUCUGUGCCGCAAGGCCAUUAAUAUAAUACAACUUUUAACAACGGAUCUCUUGGCUCUC
rnacentral:misc_RNA from 1 species